AAGUCAUGAUGAGGGCAUUGUCUUAAUAAACUUUUGAAUCUAUCCUAUGCUUUAAAUAGUGAUUCUCUAUCUACCUAAGUAAAAUUUGUGAUACAAUUCUUCAUGU